GGGGGUGUAGCUCAGCUGGGAGAGCGUGUGAAUGGCAUUCACAAGGUUGUGGGUUCGACUCCCAUCACCUCCACCA
rnacentral:tRNA from 1 species